GCCAGUAUGGCAUAGUGGUUUGAGUGUGGACUAGGACUCUAGAGAGCAGGGUUCAAAUCCCUGCUCGGCCA